UUCUUUGUUUGAACAUAUACAUAGCUAACAUGUCAUCAUAUUAUGUAAUAGCAGGUAUGAAUUAAAUUUUGUUUUUUGAGGCAAUUUGCUGAUGGCAAGGAUGAAGCGAGCUGUUGACGUGGAAGAAACUGCAAAAUCAGAUAUUGAAAAGUUAUGCAGGUGCUUUCCAUCUCACAGCAUUUCAAUAGAUGAUAUUCGUGAGUGGAUGAAGGACAAAUCGACUUUUUUUGGUCGUGAAGUUGAGACUGAAAACUUUUUUUAACAAAUAUACGUAAAUCUUGAACAACUUACAGAAGAAGAAGAUUGGAAAUGCAAGUACGUUAUAUACCUGGACUUGUAUGCUCAUCUUUACCAUCGAUGGAAUGGUUGCACUGAUCCAAGUGAACUGACUGUUCCAUUUAAUCAGAUGAAAAAAAUUGACGAGCAGUUAAAGAUCGUGGAAAGAGAGAACUCAAUUUCUGCAAGCUGGC